UACGGAGGGGGCUAGCGUUGUUCGGAAUUACUGGGCGUAAAGCGCACGUAGGCGGCUUUGUAAGUUAGAGGUGAAAGCCCAGGGCUUAACCCUGGAAUUGCCUUUAAGACUGCAUCGCUCGAAUUGUGGAGAGGUGAGUGGAAUUCCGAGUGUAGAGGUGAAAUUCGUAGAUAUUCGGAAGAAACACCAGUGGCGAAGGCGACUCACUGGACAC
rnacentral:rRNA from 1 species